rnacentral:misc_RNA from 1 species
GUGAGUCAUCGAAUCUUUGAACGCACAUUGCGCCCGCCAGUAUUCUGGCGGGCAUGCCUGUCUGAGCGUCAUUUCAACCCUCAAGCAACUUCUGCUUGGUGUUGGGGAUCGGCCGUUAAACGCCGCCCCCGAAAUCUAUUGGCGAUCUCGCUGUAGCUUCCUAUGCGUAGUAGUAACAUCUCGCAUCUGGAGAGCGGCGCGGUCAUGCCGUAAAACACCCAACUUCUCAGGUUGACCUCAGAUCAGGUAGGAAUACCCGCUGAACUUAAGCAUAUCAAUAAGCGGAGGA